GCGGAGGGACGGACCUGCGGGAGCCAGGGCUGCCGGCCGAGCUGCAGUUGCCGCCGCCGCCGCCGCUGUCAGCGCCGUCUGAAGAGUGACAGCCGCAAAAGCAGGGAGCACCGAACCCCGCGCCUUUCCCAGACAAGUGCAUGCGCCCGUCUCACGGUAACCAUUCAUUCAUGAGCCAGAGGCUGUGAGAAAUGCUUGCUGUGCAAAGGGGAACUCUCACCAGAUUUUCUGAAGCUGUCCUAGAAAUACACUUUUCAGAUUGAUUCAGCAUCACCAGCUUAUCCAACCAAAGUAUUAACAUACACGUUAACAACGUCGAAAGUAGCCUACUUUAAGAGGAAAUAUGCAGAAGAAGAAGAUUUACAUCAAGAUUACCAUGGGUAUUUUCCAAAACACUUGAUACUGCCCGAAGACAGGACCUGCAUACUCAAACUGUCUCUGGAGAAGCUCAGGUUUCUUGAAGACCCAGAAACCUACCUGAGAAGGUCUGUGUUAAUUAACAAUUUGCUGAGGAAGAUCCACCUGGAGACGGAGAAAGAGAGCUAUGAAUACUUUAAAGAAGCUCCCUGCUAUAAGACUGCUUAUUCUGAUGCAAGAAAACGGCUGAAGUUUAUGGUACAGGAAUGCUGUUCUCAGUCUCUCUAUUACGAAGAGCUGCAUUCGUAUCAUAUUGUGCCUUAUGCUUCGGAAAAUGCCAUUUAUGGGAUGGGCUACACUAGCGGCCACUUGGAGCAGAAUUCUCAGUUGCUUAUUUAUAAAAUGAAUUAAAGUAACUGUUAAGUCCAUUGAUACUUUGUUUUCUAAAUGCCUGAACUGUUUAUAGUGAAGAUGUGAACGUAAGGCACUUGAGAUCCAAGAUGAGAUGCAUGCUAAACUGAUCAGAGAGAACUCUGGUUAUUACUCAGCAGUCCUUAGUAUCAUCAAGUCAAACUGGAAAUAUGUCCACCCAUUAUUAAGUGGCAAGUAAGUGCUUUAGAAGCACUCCCUCCCCCAAUUUAUUUUAAGAUAAAGUAUAGGAAGAGACGAGAUUGACUUCUUACACAGAUUUAAACAUUUUAAGCCCGUAUUUCCAAAUUCUGCCACUCAUGGUGAAAAGUAACAGAUGAAACUGGUAAAAUCUUGUCCCUGAGGAUUAAAGGUGGAACAAAUUUACAGUAAUUUUCUGUAAACGAUGAGGAGAGAGGUAGGUUCUUGCUGAAAAGCUUUGCAGUGUUAAGCAUUGUGCCAAAUAAUCGUUUGACAUCAUUCUCCUUUUUAGCAUUCAUGGCAAUUCAAGAUGGGGCAGACUUAUGGCAAUUUAACUGCUGAAUGUAACAACCAGACUACUCCAACCUGAUCCAUUUUGCUUUUUGUUUUUCUGGUCUCUUUUAAGGUGAAACUUCAUAAAAUAGCCUUGUGGAUGGGCUUAUCUCUAAGUUCUAGGGGCAGUUAAAAUUUGUGGUGGGUCUUUAGUUAAGAGUUUAAAUUUUAUUUAUGAUGUCAUUUUUUUUAUAGGCUGUGAAGCUCAGGAAAAGAGUAGGCAGGGAAAAUUUGUUUUAAUAGGUUGAUAAUUUUUUAAAAAUCUUAUCUGCAAAAGUUGGGGAGAACAACAGAAAUUCUACAUGAUGUUAUUUCUUUACUUAAGAGUGCAUUUAAGGCUGCCUGGAUGAAACUUUGCACUGAUUUUUGUACAGUAGUUGACCAAUCACUAUUUGACAAAAUGUUUCAGAAUGCCUUUGGGGUCGAGUUUAGAUCCAUCCCUAUAUUUUGCAACUUGAAAGCUAAUUAUUUAACAAGUUGGAUAGAUUCCUGAAAUCCUUUGAAGCAGUUCAUCAUUUUCUUUGAGGUUCGAGUGAGAUGUCUGAUUUAAAUGUCUUGAGUUAUGUCCUAUGGAGCAUAUCAUUUCAAAAAUUGUCACUAACUGAUAAAGCAGAUUGGGAAAACUAGAUGCCAAAGGUAUAUUCAAGAAAAUACCAAAGACCCAAAGAUGAGUGUUGGCUAGAGUAUGGUAAUCAAGGUAAGAAUCUUACAUAAGGAUUGUACAGGACAUAGGAGAACAGUGUGGAAGGGUUUUGGAAAGAUUUGCCUACUAAUGUGCUUUCUGAGCACUUUGUACAUCACAAUGAUAAUCAAGGACACUGCUUUAAAUGAAGACAUGACAGGCCUUCGGUGAUCAUAUGUUUUGGCAAAUUUAAGUAUGGUGAUCUGUCAGCCUUGUAUCUUGCUUUGUUGAAAGCCAUCUUAUACCCAAGAAGGCCUUUUUCUCUUCAGGAGAAUUUUGUUCUUAGUUUUGAUUCACAACUUGCUCCCUCUAAUGAAUCAUAGAGGUGAUUAACAUGGAUGCUUUUGGUAUAAAGAAUAUCAGUACUCUAAUCAGCAUGCAUUGUUAGAACAACAUAGCUAUAUAAUUGGUAAAAGUGUCUGGUUUAUAUUUAAUUGCUCAAUCAAAACUAGGAAAAAAUGCUUAGGAACAAACUGAAAAAUUAUCAUUGAUGUUAAUUUCUAAAGGCAUUUUGGUAUAAAUGGUGAGAUAGCUUUGAAAUACAAAUAUACAUAUUUAAAAAUUAAUUUAAGGGCAAAAACUUGGCCACAAAGUUUAGAAACUUCAUUUUACUGCUUAUAAAAUACCUUAUUUUCCAGAAUGUGUCUUUUAAAAUGUAGAUUUCUUAAACAGUGGGGGCAUUAUUUGAAUAGAUGCAAAACUUGUUAGGAUAAUAUUACUAUCAUAUAAUUAAAAAUAGAAUUAGCUCUCCAAUAGUUUAAAUUUUUUACUGAAAAGAAUAUUUGGCUCCAUUUAGGACAGUGUCUACAAGAAAACACACUAGUGCUAAUAGAUGUGACUUACAAAAAUGUCACAUAUUACAAUUGUUUGAGGAGAGAAAUGCUCAUACUUUGCAAUAUAGAAGAGAGAGAGAAAAUUACCAAGACAGUGUGAAAUUGUAAUAUAUACUGUGUGUUGGAAAUCUUAAACAAAGCAAGAACUCUUAGUCACUGAACCAGUAAGAGAUGUGAAGUCUGUUUAUUUGGUGACAUCGUUAACCCAGCUCUCUGAUCUAUACAUUCAUAUGUAGAGAAGGAACUUACAAACCAGCAGUAUUUCUGAAUAUGCUUUUAAAAAAUAUGUGCUGAUUUCAAAACAAGUUAUUUUAAAAAUAUCUUUUAGAGCAUCAAAUUUCUCUCCCAAUAAACAAUUCAUAGUUGAGUUGACUAAUAUUAUCUUGACUUUAAAAAAAUAAUAUUUAUAUUUCAACUAUGUAACUUUCUGAGCUAACCAAUAAGAUGGCUGAUUUAUCCGGCCAAACUGAAUCAUAGGGAGACCCUGCAUAGACCUGCUCCAGAUGUGAGAGGCCAAAUGGGCGACAAGGUACACCUUUUUUGAACCUGGACAUCCUUUCUCUGGUGACCAGAGCCACUCUUAGAGUAAGACAGAGAGGGUGGGAAAUAUGAGUGCCGUUGGUAAUUUGGAUCACUCUUGUGGGUGCCCAAACAGCCAAAAGACCUAGUAAAAAAGAAGAGAUUUUUAAAAAGAGGAGAGGAAAAAUGAAGAGAUGAGGAAGGGGGAAAGAAGGGCAGAGAAAUAAGGAACAGGAUUAGUAAGUGAAAGAGAAAGUUGUUUCAUGUGGGGAGGGGUUGCUUGCUUAUUAUACUCAAUUUUGCUUUCCUGCCUGUUAUACAUCUAAACCCUGAGAUCCACUUUGUAUGAUCUUUUCUUUCAUUUGCUGAUGAUGCACAAGAUUAGAUUCUAUUCAGUAUAUGCAUUAUUUGAAAUGUGGUAUUUCUGUGAAACAUACCUGACACUGAGCUCCUGCACAGAUGAGAAAAGGAAAAAUAGAAAUUAAGUUAAGGAAAAGACUAAAUGGCGAGCCUAUGUAUACAUGGGUAAGCUCGAAUGCAGGAUCAGAUUCCAAUGUAUAUUCCUAGAUUUAAUAAGUUCUAGUGCUGGAGGACUUAGAAUUAAGUGCAAUUCCCCACUACUAAUUGAGCAACUACUCUGAGCCAGGCACUGUGCCAGGGUUGGGGAUUUACUAGCAGAGAUGAACGUGCAGUUAAGCAGUUCACUGAUGAAGAGGAACUCAGCAAUGUAUGGCUUUUGUUCAAAAGGUAAGGAUUCUAUUGGGAAUAGCACCUGCAUUUCUCUUUUCCAAACUCUGGGAUUGUUCUCAAGCGUACGUCUCCAAAGGCAUUUGUGGCUAAGUAGAUGCCCAGGGAGAAGGGAAGGUCCACUAACCCAGAUCUUAGGAAGGAGUGUGCAUUCUGCUUUGCAGCAUUUUUUUUUUUUUUUUUACUUGGAGGCAUAAUAGAGAACUCCAUUGAAGAGGGAGAGCAUGGAUGACCUUAGCCCAUUCCUUGGACUCGAGAAGUCAUGGGGAGGUAGGGAGACACAUGCAAACACUGACCAAUUCCUUAUCCUUUGACUUCUGUAACUUCCAUGUUUUUUUACAAGAGAAACUAGGUUAAUAUUAAUGCCAAGGAGAGUGUUGGCAGAGAAGCAGAAUUGGAAAAAUCACAGCCAGAGAAUUGCAUAUAGGGUGUUUAAGGUUAAAAGGGCAGCAUUUUUUAAUUUGCCUUGUGCUGGUGCGUAGCUUAAGUGAACCCCAGAGAUGUCUUAACACCUGCUCCUGGAGCUGUCCUCCUCCUCUACCACUGGCUUCCUCUCUGAAUCACAGCCCAACACCCAGUCUUUGCUGCAGGUAGAAGCUAUGGUUCUAAUUCUUCACUCUCCUUCCCCCCAGCAUUGAUACUGAUUUGCCCAAAAAUACUUGCAGGAAAGUAACAAUUUGCAGGACUGGCUGAACUCCUGUGGGAAAGGGUUUUCAGAAUGUAUCAAAGUAGAAUUCAUCAGUUUCUUGUUACAGUUCUUUGGAAAAUUAUUGUGCUUAGUCAUUCAAUAAUUGUCUGUUAAGGUGAUCUUCAUGUUUCUAGAGUUCACUGUAUUAGUUAUCCGUUGUGUACGUUUUUGUUAAAGAAAAAAAACCUUAGGUUGGAAACAAUGGCAGACUGUGUGCAAUUCAAGCAGUUUAUGAAUAUUUAUGUAAUAUAUGGAAUUUUAACUUACAUUUUCCCAUUCUCACACUUCAAUACUAUAUCCAUCAACAUGUGACACGUUUCAGGAUUUUUGUUUCUUUUUUAAGUGGACCAUGCUUAAAAGUUGUUUCCUUCAUGGUUGAACAUGUUGGUCAAAAUUUCCCUACUAAAGUGGUUCUAGCUGUUCCCAAGGAUGACUUAUAGUUGGGUGGAUGAAGAACACUCCUCUACCUUAGUGCUUCUCCAAUAUUUUGUGCAUAAAGUCACGGAAGAUCUUGGUGAAGUAUAUUCCUUUUAAUAGGUCUGGCAUGGGGCCCAUGGGCCUGCCUUUCUCAAGUUACCUGGUGAUGUGAGUGCUGCUGGUCCACUGACCAUAUUUUGAGUAGUGAGACUCUAUAUUACUUUGAGAAUCCAAAUAUACACUCAAGCCUAUACUCUUACUAUUUUCAAAGAAUAUGUAUUCAUGCCAGUUUUCCAUAGACAUUUUUUUCUUUCAAGAAAUGCAAGGUAAAAAGUAAAUAUCAUAAACCGGUUUUCCAAAUCGGCCACAAAUAUGAGAAUAGUUUGUAUAGUCAAAUACACAGAAAAGUAUUUCCCUUAUAAAACUUACCUAUAUCAAGGAGCAGAGAAAGAACAUGGAUGUAGUCAUGUACGGUUCUUAUCAGUCAAGAAAUGACACAUGAUAAAUUUCUCUUUUUGAUCCCCCUCCCCCCGCUUGACUAUAUACAGAUAAGGGAGCGCCAUUUAGUAACAUGAAGGCAAAGAUGAAGUUUUGUUCAUAGUUAACAAGAAUUUGGCAUUUUUUUUUCAUGGCCAAACCUAAGAAAAAUCUUAGAAAAACAUUCUAUAUUGUUGAACUCAGAAUCAUGGGUAGCUGCAGAGCCUGAAGAAUUUGGGAAACCUGAGCUGAAAAAUCGCACCUCGAUCUUCAACUUCUUGCUUUGAACUCUUUCUUGAGCUUUAUUCCACAAGGGCCCCUGCCCUUGCUUCGGGAAUCCUGUUUUCCUUUGGCCGUGAGUGAGGGAGGGGCAGAGGACUGGUGUAAGUGAGGCUGUUGCAAAAACUGUCUGAUUUGAGCAUGCCAAGUGAUGUUUUUUCUGUCAGGCUCUCUUCCGGUCAUAAAUUGUUGGGAUAGCUAUUGUGAAAUAUAGUGUCAUAAAUUUGUCAUAAACCAUUAACAAAGGGAGAGAAGAGUUGUGUGAAAAUGCACUCAAAUAUCAAGCAGAUGGUGUUCUACAACAUUUGUUUGGGAAAAUGUGUACCUGUUACGUAAUUUAACAUGUGUCUUUUUAACAUUUAAAAAUAUUUGGUUCAUGAUUUAGAGUUUUUAUUGGAUUGUUUUUUAAAACUGAGGGGAAGAAGAAAGGUAACUGUAUUUUAAAACAUAUUUGACAUGUUAUUAAUAAAAUUUUAUUUCUGGUGAAACAUAGGUGCCUUAUUAAGCAGGGGAGGGGGGUCAUGAACAUUUGGCAAUUGCUUUAUGCCCUUCAAUUCUAGAGGUCUCCUGUGAAAAGGCAUCUGGUGAUAUUUUUCUCAGCAGUUUAUUUCCAGCACAAGGUUUGCUUAAGUACCUGGAAGACUUCCCCAUCUCCUGGCAAAUUUUCUUCAUUAAAAUUGACCCUGAAAUGGUUUUUAGGUAGCAUGAGUCAUGAGAACACAUGGCAGGACUCACUCUAUAUAGGCCUUAUUCAAACAUCACAGGUAUCAAUCUCAGAGUAAAAGAUAAUUU